UACGGGGGGGGCAAGCGUUGUUCGGAAUUACUGGGCGUAAAGGGCUCGUAGGCGGCCAACUAAGUCAGACGUGAAAUCCCUAGGCUCAACCUAGGAACUGCGUCUGAUACUGGAUGGCUUGAAUCCGGGAGAGGGAUGCAGAAUUCCAGGUGUAGCGGUGAAAUGCGUAGAUAUCUGGAGGAAUACCGGUGGCGAAGGCGGCAUCCUGGACCGACAUUGACGCUGAUGAGCGAAAGCCAGGGGAGCAAACGGG
rnacentral:rRNA from 1 species